rnacentral:ncRNA from 2 species
GAGGAAGCCCGGUGCGAUUCCGGCGCGGUCCCGCCACUGUGAGCCCCACCCAGGUGGGGUGAGCCAGGAACUC